CAGUAGCCGCGGGAAUACGUAGGUGGCAAGCGUUGUCCGGAAUUAUUGGGCGUAAGGGGCUCGCGGGCGGUUUCUUAAGUCUGAUGUGAAAGCCCCAGCUCAACCGGGGAGGGUCAUUGGAAACUGGGAAACUUGAGUGCAGAAGAGGAGAGUGGAAUUCCACGUGUAGCGGUGAAAUGCGUAGAGAUGUGGAGGAACACCAGUGGCGAAGGCGACUCUCUGGUCUGUAACUGACGCUGAGGAGCGAAAGCGUGGGGAGCGAACAGGAUUAGAUACCCCCGUAGUCCCUGUCUCUAUACAC
rnacentral:rRNA from 1 species